CAGGAAAAGUACCAAUAAAAGACCAUGGAGAAAUGACCAGCAGGAUACCUGAACUUGAUGCUCUCCUGUCGUCGGGUUGUAGUCUCCAGCCUUGUGUUUCUUAUAUAGGGGGCAGUGAAGAUUCUAGAGGGCGGGAUAAACAUUUGUUUGAAAUUUGAAUCUCCCGAAGCUCAUGAAGAUAAGCUGUUGAUCGGAGACUUCGUCUUUGACUUUGAGAUUGAACUUGGACGCCCUCUGCCACUUUGUUCUUAUCACAAUUUGAAUGCUUUCUUCUGUUUCUUUUUUUCCGUAGCUUAUCCCCACCCAAGCUUGGUCAACCUUUGAAUUUGAGAAACAGAUAAUUUGUAAAUAAAUAUUUGUUUAACUGCUGUCAUUAUCCUCUUCUCUUUUUUUUUUUUUUGAAUAAUUGUGACAGCUA